rnacentral:lncRNA from 1 species
AUUCCGCCUGCGCGGCCCCCGCCCGUACACGAGCUCCUCUGGGGUCUACUCACCAGUGACAGACUCGACGAUCGAAGUGUCUGAGCGUGGCCCGGCCUCACCGGCGGGCUCCCAAAACAGCGCUGACAGACAGGACCAUGGAGGAGAGGCGCUGCCGGCCUAGAGAGGCAAAGCUCCAGCGACCACGGCGGCAGGAGCGGCUGCGUAGGAAAGAAACGUUUCCGGGGAAAGCAGCGGAGGGGCGGGGCUGAGGUUGCGCAGGCGUAGUGGGUGCAACCUCUGCCUGAACCUCCUGAACCAGGUACAAGCAGCCGGAUAGCGAACUGAGCACAUGCGCAGAAGGAAGAGUGAAGGCAAACGGAAGAGAGGAACGAAGGCCGCAGAGCUUGCGCGCCCUCUAGAGGGGAAUUCUUUUUUUAAAGGAAGGCGGCUAGGGGAGAGGCAAGUGGGGUGGCUUAGGACGCGGUAAUGAUGUUUGGGAAUUAACGAGGUGAUAAACUGUGUCGUUAUUUUCAGCCUAAAUUCUCAAUGUUUUCUCCUAGUUAGAGUCUGAUAACUUGAAGUGGACCUGCAAGCUCCUCCACGUAGGAGUUUGCCAAUGUUCCCGCUGUACAGAUAGUUAAGCUAAGGGCCAGAGAAGGAAAGCAACAUACUGUUUCAACGACACAGUUAGUAGCAAAGUAAGUAUUAAAAUUCAAGUGUUGGUCGGGCGCGGUGGCUCACGCCUGUAAUCCCAGCACUUUGGGAGGCUGAGGUGGGCGGAUUACCUGAGGUCGGUGUUUCGAGACCAGC